rnacentral:lncRNA from 1 species
GUGGUCCAUGGUGGAAAAAGAAGGAGGGGGCACCUCUUGUCUUGCUCUAUUUGGAUUUUCCUUGACUAGGUAUUUGACCUAGACAAGGAUUCUUCUUAUCUCUUUAUUUAAGAUGAAUUUCUUCUUAAAAUUUUUAUGGAUUAUAGAACAUUAAGAGACCUUUGGGGCAUGUAAAAAUCAGAGAGAAAGAGUAUUAGGGUGUGGAGAUAUAAUAGGCACAAAACUA